UGCAAGUCGAGGGGCAGCGGGGGUAGCAAUACCUGCCGGCGACCGGCAAACGGGUGCGGAACACGUACACAACUUUCCUUUAAGUGGGGGAUAGCCCAGAGAAAUUUGGAUUAAUACCCCGUAACAUUAUGAGAUGGCAUCAUUUUAUAAUUAAAGCUCCGGCGCUUAGAGAUGGGUGUGCGGCUGAUUAGGUAGUUGGCGGGGUAACGGCCCACCAAGCCUGCGAUCAGUAACUGGUGUGAGAGCACGACCAGUCACACGGGCACUGAGACACGGGCCCGACUCCUACGGGAGGCAGCAGUAAGGAAUAUUGGUCAAUGGACGCAAGUCUGAACCAGCCAUGCCGCGUGAAGGAUGAAGGUCCUCUGGAUUGUAAACUUCUUUUAUAGGGGAAGAAACCCAUUUUUUCUAAAGUGGUUGACGGUACCCUAGGAAUAAGCACCGGCUAACUCCGUGCCAGCAGCCGCGGUAAUACGGAGGGUGCAAGCGUUAUCCGGAUUCACUGGGUUUAAAGGGUGCGUAGGUGGGCAGGUAAGUCAGUGGUGAAAUCUCCGGGCUCAACCCGGAAACUGCCAUUGAUACUAUCUGUCUUGAAUAUCGUGGAGGUGAGCGGAACAUGUCAUGUAGCGGUGAAGUGCUUAGAUAUGACAUAGAACACCAAUUGCGAAGGCAGCUCACUACGCGAAUAUUGACACUGAGGCACGAAAGCGUGGGGAUCAAACAGGAUUAGAUACCCUGGUAGUCCACGCCCUAAACGAUGGAUACUCGACAUACGCGAUACACAGUGUGUGUCUGAGCGAAAGCAUUAAGUAUCCCACCUGGGAAGUACGACCGCAAGGUUGAAACUCAAAGGAAUUGACGGGGGCCCGCACAAGCGGUGGAGCAUGUGGUUCAAUUCGACGCAACGCGAAGAACCUUACCUGGGCU
rnacentral:rRNA from 1 species